rnacentral:rRNA from 1 species
GUUCCCCUAAAUAGGGACUAGUAUGAACGGCUAAAUGAGGACUGACCUGUCUCCUUUGACUAAUCAGUGAAACUGAUCUUUCGGUACAAAAGCCGAAAUAAACACAUAAGACGAGAAGACCCUGUGGAGCUUUAAAUUAUAACCAAAACAUGCUAGCACAGCAUACCAAAUUUAUGGCCAAAAAUUUUAAGUUGGGGCGACUUCGGAACCAAACAAAACUUCCGAGCAUAAAGAGAAUUCCUCUUACCAAGACCAACAUGUCAAAGCAAAUAUUGACCCAGUAUCACUGAUCAACGAACCAAGUUACCCCAGGGAUAACAGCGCCAUCUUCUUCAAGAGUCCAUAUCGACAAGAAGGUUUACGACCUCGAUGUUGGAUCAGGACACCCAAAUGGUGCAGCAGCUAUUAAAGGUUCGUUUGUUCAACGAUUAACAGUCCU